UUGCUCGGCAACGGCCUGGUCUGUGCCAAGUGUUUGCUGACGCAACCCCCACUGGCUGGGGCUUGGCCAUAGGCCAUCAGCGCAUGCGUGGAACCUUUGUGGCUCCUCUGCCGAUCCAUACUGCGGAACUCCUAGCCGCUUGUUUUGCUCGCAGCCGGUCUGGGGCAAAGCUCAUCGGAACUGACAAUUCUGUCGUCCUCUCGCGGAAAUAUACAUCGUUUCCAUGGCUGCUAGGUUGUACUGCCAACUGGAUCCUUCGCGGGACGUCCUUUGUUUACGUCCCGUCGGCGCUGAAUCCCGCGGACGACCCCUCUCGGGGCCGCUUGGGACUCUCUCGUCCCCUUCUCCGUCUGCCGUUCCAGCCGACCACGGGGCGCACCUCUCUUUACGCGGUCUCCCCGUCUGUGCCUUCUCAUCUGCCGGUCCGUGUGCACUUCGCUUCACCUCUGCACGUUGCAUGGAGACCACCGUGAACGCCCAUCAGAUCCUGCCCAAGGUCUUACAUAAGAGGACUCUUGGACUCCCAGCAAUGUC
rnacentral:misc_RNA from 1 species